rnacentral:rRNA from 1 species
UACGUAGGGUGCAAGCGUUGUCCGGAAUUAUUGGGCGUAAAGAGCUCGUAGGCGGUUUGUCGCGUCUGCUGUGAAAACUCGGGGCUUAACCCCGGGCCUGCAGUGGGUACGGGCAGACUAGAGUGCGGUAGGGGAGACUGGAAUUCCUGGUGUAGCGGUGAAAUGUGUAGAGAUCGGGAGGAACACCAGAGGCGAAAGCGGUGCCCUGGCAUUGGCCUGACGCUGAGAGUGCGAAAGCGUGGGGAGCGAACGGG